ACCACUUCUGACAUCUAAACAAGCAUGACCUGUAAAUUUCACACAGGCAAGUUACCUAGUAGCUGAACAUGAAUUUCUUUGGGAGGAAAAAAAUGGCUAAUAGGAGAUCAACAGCUCAUUUAAAGGAUUCAUUCAGAAUACAUCAGAAAGAUACACCUACAACAAGAUCACUCAAGCCAGUCCUCUGACCUCAUGUGGAUAAACACCCGAAAACUGCAAUCCAGCUGCAAGGUAUCCAGGAACAUCACACAAGAUGAAGCAACCCAAACUUCCCUUUUCUUUCUCUAAGACACAGCACAGUCUCAAGAACUUUUACUAGUUUCAGACCAUAGUCAUUUUAAAACUAUUAUUAUAGAAAGAAGACUCAGCUCAUUACGGAGUCUACUUCCAUUAAACACAGGA